GGUGAGGUUCCCGAGUGGCUAAAGGGAUCAGACUGUAAAUCUGACGCGCGAGCUUCGGUGGUUCGAAUCCACCCCUCACCACCA
rnacentral:tRNA from 1 species